GGCACUAUGGUGUAGUGGUUAUCACGUCUGCUUUACACGCAGAAGGUCCCCAGUUCGAGCCUGGGUAGUGUCA
rnacentral:tRNA from 1 species